GGACACCAGUACAGGACGGGGCUUCGCAGACAGCGAGCGGAGGGGCUUCCCCGUAAGGGGCGGGCUUCGAGGGUCGCGUUUGGAAGGCCUUACGAGGGGCCCGGUGGAAGGGCGGUGAAGGGCGGGCUAAUCGGGAGGCGCUCAGGCCUUGAAGGCCUGCGGGAGGUCGAAAUGGUCCUGGGGAGGUCGAGGCUGAGGUCUCACUAGUACCGCGGGCCUGGAAGCGGCGGGAGUUGAAAGAGCCUGCGGUGACCUGUAUGGAAGCCCUCGAAGCCAGGCCGAGGUCCUACAAGACGGAGCCCGAGAGGUGCCGGUCUUAAGCUGACUGUGACCACGUUAAAUUAAGGAUUCAUAGGAAGGAAGGCGGUGUCGAAGCCGGGAGUUGCGCGGAGAAGGAGCGCUCAACACAGCCUCAGCGGUUCACUACGCAAGCGCGACCAACGGCUUCCCGGGAAGCAGCCAAAAACGCUUGGCCGCCUACCACGUCCGCGCGCUGGAGGGCGGAAGUGGAUGAAGAGACUGAGGCAUAGAGAAGUUAUUAGUAACUUGCCAAAAAUUACACAGCCAUUGAGUAAAACAGCUUGGAUUUUGAGUCCAACCAGUGUGGCUCUAGAGUCUGUGCUAUACUGGUAUUCCAGCUUCCAGGUCUUGGGGUACCCAGCCAAGCACUGAACUGUCCAUCCCUCACCCCCUCAGGGAGCCCGAAUCACCAACAGCUAUCCCAAACCCAGCUCUGGCCCAUCAGAUACCCAGACAUCCCAUCAUCCAGUUCCCUUCCCUGGAUCCAGGAUUUGAAUUCCCCUGCUCUCAAUUUAUCAGAGUUCUGGGCACCUGGUCCCCUCCCAAGAGACUCGUGUACAUAGUAGUCAUCACCCCGACCCUAAUUUAAUAUCCCCAAAAUUAAUAAUAAUAGUUAACAGUAAACCUUUGGGGCCAGGCACAGUGUCUUACGCCUGUAAUCCCAUCAUUUUGGGAGGCCAAGGCAGGCAGAUCACUGGAGGUCAGGAGUUCGAGGCCAGCCUGGCCAACAUGGAGAAACCCCCGUCUCUACUAAAAAUACAAAAAUUGGCUGGGCGUGGUGGCGGGCACCUGUAAUCCCAGCUACUCAGGAGGCUGAGGCAGGAGAAUCGCUUGAACCGGGAGGUGGAGGUUGCAGUGAGCUGAGAUCAUGCCACUGCACUCCAGCCUGGAUGACAGAGCAAGACUCCAUCUCAAAAAAAAAAUAAAAAUCUUUGGUACUACA